AGCCUACGGGGGGCAGCAGUGGGGAAUAUUGCACAAUGGGGGAAACCCUGAUGCAGCAACGCCGCGUGAGUGAGGAAGUAUUUCGGUAUGUAAAGCUCUAUCAGCAGGGAAUAGAAAAGAAGGUACCUGAAAAAGAAGCCCCGGCUAACUACGUGCCAGCAGCCGCGGUAAUACGUAGGGGGCAAGCGUUAUCCGGAUUUACUGGGUGUAAAAGGCGUGUAGGCGGGAGUGCAAGUCAGAUGUGAAAACUAUGGGCUCAACCCAUAGCCUGCAUUUGAAACUGUACUUCUUUAUUGCUGGAGAGG
rnacentral:rRNA from 1 species